rnacentral:rRNA from 1 species
CCACGCAGUAAACGAUGAAUACUAGCUGUUGGCGAUAUAAUGUCAGCGGUAAAGCGAAAGUGUUAAGUAUUCCACCUGGGGAGUACGCCGGCAACGGUGAAACUCAAAGGAAUUGACGGGGGCCCGCACAAGCGGAGGAACAUGUGGUUUAAUUCGAUGAUACGCGAGGAACCUUACCCGGGCUUGAAAGUUAGUGACGGACUUGGAAACAGGUCUUUCCUUCGGGACACGAAACUAGGUGCUGCAUGGUUGUCGUCAGCUCGUGCCGUGAGGUGUCGGCUUAAGUGCCUUAACGAGCGCAACCCUUGCUGUUAGUUGCCAUCAGGUAAUGCUGGGAACUCUAACAGGACUGCUACUGUAAGGUAGAGGAAGGUGGGGAUGACGUCAAAUCAGCACGGCCCUUACGUCCGGGGCGACACACGUGUUACAAUGGUCGGUACAGAGGGUUGCUACCUGGCGACAGGAUGCUAAUCUCAUAAAACCGAUCUCAGUUCGGAUCGGAGUCUGCAACUCGACUCCGUGAAGCUGGAUUCGCUAGUAAUCGCGCAUCA